rnacentral:snoRNA from 1 species
UAACCAUGGUGGGGGCAUUGAAUGGGGCAACAUUUUGAACCUUUCCCAUGCCUCAUGGAACGGUUCGCCUUCAGCUUGCGAGAAAGUUGCAAUUUUUCUUCUUAACUCA